AGGGCCUUGUAUGCUUGCUUGUGGGUAGAAUAACAGUGGCGUCGGAGACGUGUUGAUGGAAGUUGGGCAUCAAGUGUCUUAAUGAUGUGGAAUUAAAAUCACAGGCAACCAGACAUGCAGCCUCUGGAUGUAAGUUUUCCUGCUUGUUUAUAGCCUUGUAUAGUUCAGUAAGUGCCAGCUUGUUGUUUUUCUUGUCCUGAGGAGGAAUAUAUACAACAGUCAUGAUAACAGCUGAAAACUCCCUCGGGAGGUAGAAGUGGCGCCAUUUGACCAUCAGGUAUUCCAAGACCGGUGAACAAUGGGUUGACACUUCCACUGAACUCGAGUCAGCACACCAGUUGUUGUUGAUGAAGAGGCUAACCCCUCCCCCUCUCGAUUUCUCUGACUGCACUGUCCUGUCCGCGUGGAGAAUGGAGAAUCCAUCAAGUUGGAUAGCAUUGGGGAGUAUCUUGUCCGAGAGCCAUGUUUCAGAAAAGCAGAAAAUAUUGCAGUAUUGAGAGUCCCGUUGGUGGCUGGCUUUCCCUUCGCCUAAAUCUCGCUAGGAUUCCCCCUCUCUUGCCUCUGUAACGGUGGCGUUUCCUCUUGCGUAGCCUGAAAAUGUGGUCAGAAGUACAGAAAGAGCCCUGGGCAGAUGAGUCAAAGUCAAAGUUGAAGCCAGAAUUGCGGUCCCAUCCCUGUCAGUGUAAUGCUGGCUCUAUCCUGUCUGCUGUCAGCUCACAGCUCCAGUUUUACACCCCAGCUACAGCCCCGGAACAAACCCACUGUGUGUGUGUGUGUGUGUGUACACCUACUGAAAGGACCUGAGCCCUAGGACCAUGCCUCAGGACUACCUGGUAUGAUGACUCCUUGCUGUCCCCAGUCCACCUGGCUGUGCUGCUGCUCCAGUUUCAACUGUUCUGCCUGCGGCUAUGGAACCCUGACCUGUUCACCGGACGUGCUUGUUGCACCCUCGACAACUACUAUGAUUAUUAUUAUUUGACCAUGCUGGCCAUUUAUGAACAUUUUAACAUUUUAACAUUUUGACCAUGUUCUGUUAUAAUAUCCACCCUGCACAGCCAGAAGAGGACUGGCCACCCCUCAUAGCCUGGUUCCUCUCUAGGUUUCUUCCUAGGUUUUUGGCCUUUCUAGGGAGUUUUUCCUAGGGAGUUUUUCCUAGCCACCGUGCUUCUUUCACAUGCUUUGCUUGCUGUUUGGGGUUUUAGGCUGGGUUUCUGUACAGCACUUUGAGAAUAUCAGCUGAUGUACGAAGGGCUAUAUAAAAAUAAAUUUGAUUUGAUUUGAUUUGGUCUCAAAAAAGACCAGAAGCAACAUCCUCUAAGGCCAUGUUUGAACCUGAACCUGUUCUUUGAGGAGGUAUAAACCACUAACCACCCACCCACUCGCCACACACACACACACAGUCACUCAGCUGACUGUCAGCCCAUACCAAUGAAAUUCCAUGCUGGGCCUCUCCCUGGCACAGGCUGCAUUGAUUAUCUGUCAGGGGGAGAGCCGAGAUGGGGCUGGCUGGAGAGAGGAGAGUAGAAUGAGAAUGAGGGAGGAAGUAGAGAGGGAGGGAGAGAU
rnacentral:lncRNA from 1 species